UUCCAGCUCCAAUAGCGUAUAUUUAAGUUGUUGCAGUUAAAAAGCUCGUAGUUGGAUUUCGGGCGUGGAAGUUCGGUCCGCCGUUUCGGUGUGCACUGUUGUUCUGCGUCUUUCUGCCGGGGACGCGCUUCUGGCCUUAAUUGGCUGGGACGUGGAUUCGGCGUGGUUACUUUGAAAAAAAUUAGAGUGUUCAAAGCAAG
rnacentral:rRNA from 1 species